CACAUGCAGUCGAACGAUGAAGCCCUUCGGGGUGGAUUAGUGGCGAACGGGUGAGUAACACGUGGGUAAUCUGCCCUGUACUUUGGGAUAAGCCCUGGAAACGGGGUCUAAUACCGGAUAUGACUGCGCAUCGCAUGGUGUGUGGUGGAAAGCUCCGGCGGUAUGGGAUGAACCCGCGGCCUAUCAGCUUGUUGGUGGGGUAAAAGCCUACCAAGGCGACGACGGGUAGCCGGCCUGAGAGGGCGACCGGCCACACUGGGACUGAGACACGGCCCAGACUCCUACGGGAGGCAGCAGUGGGGAAUAUUGCACAAUGGGCGCAAGCCUGAUGCAGCGACGCCGCGUGGGGGAUGACGGCCUUCGGGUUGUAAACCUCUUUCGACAGGGACGAAGGGCAACUGACGGUACCUGUAGAAGAAGCACCGGCUAACUAC
rnacentral:rRNA from 1 species